CCUACGGGUGGCAGCAGUGGGGAAUAUUGCACAAUGGGGGACACCCUGAUGCAGCGACGCCGCGUGAGUGAAGCAGUACUUCGUUAUGUAAAGCUCUCUCAGCAGGGAAGAAAAUGACGGUACCUGAGUAAGAAGCCCCGGCUAACUACGUGACAGCAGCCGCGGUAAUACGUAGGGGGCCAGCUUUAUCCGGAUUUACUGGGUGUAAAGGGAGCGUAGAUGGCAGUGCAAGUCUGGAGUGAAAGGCGGGGGCUCAACCCCCAGAUUGCGCUGGAAACUGUAAGGCUGGAGUGCAGGAGAGGUAAGGGGAAUUCCGGGUGUAGCGGUGAAAUGCGUAGAUAUUAGGAAGAACACCGAGGGCGAAGGCAGCUUACUGGACUGUAACUGACGUUGAGGCUCGAAAGCGUGGGGAGCAAACAGGAUUAGAUACCCCUGUAGUC
rnacentral:rRNA from 1 species